GGCUGAAUGGUUUAGUGGUAUAAUUCUUGCUUUGGGUGCAAGAGGCCCUGGGUUCGAUUCCCAGGUAAGAUU
rnacentral:tRNA from 1 species